UACGGGGGGGGUAAGCGUUGUUCGGAAUUACUGGGCGUAAAGGGCUCGUAGGCGGCCAACUAAGUCGGACGUGAAAUCCCUCAGCUUAACUGGGGAACUGCGUCCGAUACUGGAUGGCUUGGAUUUGGGAGAGGGAUGCGGAAUUCCAGGUGUAGCGGUGAAAUGCGUAGAUAUCUGGAGGAACACCGGUGGCGAAGGCGGCACGCUAGACCUCUUCUGACGCUGAGGCACGAAAGCCAGGGGAGCGAACGGG
rnacentral:rRNA from 1 species